GAUUUGUCCGUGGUGUGGCUGCAGUUCGUGGCAACGUGAACUCUCCUUCGAUCCCUCAUCCGGCCUCCCUCGUCUAGUGCCUGCAAAACACUUCGCUAUGCAACAGAGUGCCGCUUUAAGGUUCAGCGCACAGAUAAAGGGGCUUUCCCUGGAGCUAUUUUAUUGCUGGGCAUUACGCGGGUUUGAGAGUGACCGAUAUUCCAAACCCUGACCGCUAGAAAUUGUAGCAGAUAUACCUAUUUUCCACGAGCUGCUAUUGCAUCUUUCAGAAGUGCCACAGUCCUGGAGAGGGAAGCGGAUGCGUCCCAGGGGCAGCGAUCACCUGGUUGGGAGGCCGUUGCAAUGUAUUUACGGUAGCAGUAGUGCAAUAAUAUCUUAUGCAAACUUUUGUUCCUAUUAGGGAAACGAGCGCCAUGUCGGAAAGCUGUGCUCCGCCAGAAUCUCCUGAGAAUAGUUCACUCUUUAGAAGGCGGCUUCAUGUGGGACAAAAGACAGGGCAACAAGCAAUUUGUUCAGCCGAGCGCGGACGCUUGCUGCGAUCAUGCAGAGUAAACCUUUUUUCAUGGCAGCUCUGGUGCUGUUAACUGUAAAGCGAGGAGUGUGUGACCGGCAACUGCCAAGAGGUGUCUACAGAGCAGUCCACAAAAACAGAUAUUAUGUCGGUCUGCUCGGCAAGAAACAUUUUCGACAUACGCAGUUGAAGUGACUAAGGCGCCUGAAUGUUGUGUUACGUGUUCCCCCAGGGUGUCCACAGGCGGCGUCAGGAUUGCCAUCCGUCACCAGCACCGCUCCUUUAAAAGUAACAGGGAUGUUACCACAUUUGGGUUCUGUGUGCGGUUUUCAGUAGAAUGGACACUGGACAGAUAAAACGAGAGCAGCGUCUGAGAACACGCAGCGACGGCUGUUGUCAAUAGGCUCCACUGUUUAUGCCAGAUUACCUCUUAGACUCACACAUGUCUUCUCUGCAACCUCCCAGAGGUGGGAACAGGCAAGAACUGCAAGAAACUUCACUUGUCUAGGUGACGACCCUCUUGAGGAGGGACAGACUGACAGCGCCUUUGUCGGUGAUGCACUGGUGGUGAAGAGAGCUUCUCAACAGCCAUAUUAAUUGCACCUUCAGAACGUUCGUACUUGUAUGAAAAUGAAAGACGAUGUCUAGGGCAAGAGAAACGGGGUCUUCAAACAGCUACCAUUGCUCCUGUUAUUGUUGCCUUCUUGCUGCAUGUUCGAAUGCCUAAGGUGUCGCCGAGCAGCAACCGUGGAUGACCCCAUUCGCACUAGUCUGUUUCCGAAGAUGCGCGGUACUCCUAUUGAACCGCAUCUUAAAUACCUGCUGGCUGCAUUUGAUGCUCGAAUAUUUGCACUAAUAAGUAAAGCAAUUAAUGCUCGUCAGCGUGCUACCGCCCAUUGUCCCGUUUUGCUGAUGGUAGGACUUUUUGAUCAAGUGGUAAAACAUAUAACCUGAGACUACGACGAUAUAAACC
rnacentral:lncRNA from 1 species